UACAGAGGGUGCGAGCGUUAAUCGGAAUUACUGGGCGUAAAGCGUGCGUAGACGGUUUUGUAAGUCGGAUGUGAAAUCCCCGGGCUCAACCUGGGAAUUGCAUUCGAGACUGCAAGGCUUGGGUGCGGAAGAGGGAAGCGGAAUUUCCGGUGUAGAGGUGAAAUUCGUAGAUAUUCGCAAGAACACCAGUGGCGAAGGCGGCUCACUGGCCCGGUACUGACGCUGAGGUGCGAAAGCGUGGGGAGCAAACAGG
rnacentral:rRNA from 1 species